rnacentral:ncRNA from 1 species
GGAACUCCGGAGAAUCCCUGAAAAGGGUGCCGAAGGUGCAAGGCGGGUCCUCACCCGCUGAAUCUCUCAGGCAAAAGGACGGAGCGGG